UACGUAGGGUGCAAGCGUUGUCCGGAAUUAUUGGGCGUAAAGAGCUCGUAGGCGGUUUGUCGCGUCUGGUGUGAAAAUCCAGGGCUUAACCCUGGACCUGCAUCGGGUACGGGCAGACUAGAGUGCGGUAGGGGAGAUCGGAAUUCCUGGUGUAGCGGUGAAAUGCGCAGAUAUCAGGAGGAACACCGGUGGCGAAGGCGGUUCUCUGGGCCUGUACUGACGCUGAGGAGCGAAAGCGUGGGGAGCGAACAGG
rnacentral:rRNA from 1 species